ACAUGCCUACAACAUAGUGUUAAUGCACUGGAUCCUAUUAGAACUCCGCAAUUAAGCGCACUCAUGCUAGAUUAGUACUGGGAUGGGUGACUGCCCGGGAAGUCCUAGUGUUUUACAUGCC
rnacentral:rRNA from 1 species